CGAGUAAGCUGGACAGCGGCGGGGAUUCUCCCCGAGGAAAGUCCGGGCACCACAGGGCAGGAUAGCUGUUAACGGCAGCCGAAGGCGACUUCAGGGCCAGUGCAACAGAAAAGUACCGCCGGGAUUUUUCCCGGUAAGGGUGAAAAGGCGAGGUAAGAGCUCACCAGGGCAUGGGUGACUAUGCCGCUGUGUAAACCCUAUCCGGUGCAACACCGACUGGAGGCGGCGGCCCGUCGAUACUCCGCAGGGUGGCUUGACGCCCCACUGGCAACAGGGGGCGCAGAUAGAUCGUUGUCCACGACAGAACCCGGCUUACAGGCUUAGUCGCACC
rnacentral:RNase_P_RNA from 1 species